GAUGAACGCUAGCUACAGGCUUAACACAUGCAAGUCGAGGGGCAGCAUGGUCUUAGCUUGCUAAGGCCGAUGGCGACCGGCGCACGGGUGAGUAACACGUAUCCAACCUGCCGUCUACUCUUGGACAGCCUUCUGAAAGGAAGAUUAAUACAAGAUGGCAUCAUGAGUCCGCAUGUUCACAUGAUUAAAGGUAUUCCGGUAGACGAUGGGGAUGCGUUCCAUUAGAUAGUAGGCGGGGUAACGGCCCACCUAGUCUUCGAUGGAUAGGGGUUCUGAGAGGAAGGUCCCCCACAUUGGAACUGAGACACGGUCCAAACUCCUACGGGAGGCAGCAGUGAGGAAUAUUGGUCAAUGGGCGAGAGCCUGAACCAGCCAAGUAGCGUGAAGGACGACUGCCCUAUGGGUUGUAAACUUCUUUUAUAAAGGAAUAAAGUCGGGUAUGGAUACCCGUUUGCAUGUACUUUAUGAAUAAAGAUCGGCGAACUCCGU
rnacentral:rRNA from 1 species